rnacentral:rRNA from 1 species
AGUUUGAUCCUGGCUCAGGAUGAACGCUAGCGGCAGGCUUAAUACAUGCAAGUCAAGGGGGUAGCAAUACAACCGGCGCACGGGUGAGUAACACGUACACAACAUACCAUAUACUGAGGUAUAGCUUCGGGAAACUGAAGGUAAUCCCUCAUAGUAUUGUGAAAGGGCAUCUUUUUACAAUUAAAGUUUCGACGGUAUAUGAUUGGUGUGCGUUUGAUUAGCUAGUUGGUAGGGUAACGGCCUACCAAGGCAACGAUCAAUAGCUGGCGUGAGAGCGCGACCAGCCACACUGGAACUGAGACACGGACCCGACUCCUACGGGAGGCAGCAGUAAGGAAUAUUGGACAAUGGGCGGAAGCCUGAUCCAGCCAUGCCGCGUGAAGGACGAAGGCGCUCAGCGUUGUAAACUUCUUUUGGAUGGGAACAAUAACUCCGACUUGUCGGAACUUGAGGGUACCAUCAGAAUAAGCACCGGCUAACUCCGUG